ACUAUUUUGUCAUGCGAUAUGAACUACUAAGUUGAAGAUCAAGGUGGAAUUCGCUGAUAUUAUUCUGGUGAUAUAUUAUAUUCGGAAGGAUAUCCUUAUUUAAACCAGAGGUACUAUGGAAAAUUUGUUAGUGUUUUAUGGGCACAUCGUACGUGAGGGUCCUUCUGGUGUGGAUGUGUCUAGGUGCGGGAUGACUACGGUUGUAGUGAAAGACAUGGUUAAUGUAGAGUAUGCGGCAGUUAGAAGGUGCAUCCGAUCGGUGUUUGGUUCAGCGAUGAAUGGAAAAAAAAUGACCCUGGAGGCUUUCGUGGUUGAGGGAGGAAAUCGUUGGGUUUUGCGACGGGUUACCGGUGAAAGAGCAUGGGCGUCGUACAUGGGUUUUGCAAGCAAUCCCAAUAACUCCAUGUAUGGAC